rnacentral:sRNA from 1 species
GCUGCCGCAAAAUCGGUGGUCGGGCGUAGGAACCCGUGUUACUCGUUGGCGAUACCAGACGCCAUUAGCGUCUUUUUU